GAGAAAAAGAAGAAGACGAAGAAGGACAAAAAGAAGAAAAAGGAUUCUUCAUCAUCUGACAGUUCAAACUCUGACAGUGAGAGUGAGAAGAAGAAAAAGAAGAAGAAGAAGAAGAAGAAGAGCAA